rnacentral:rRNA from 1 species
CGCUGGCGGCGUGCUUAACACAUGCAAGUCGAACGGUAAGGCCCUUCGGGGUACACGAGUGGCGAACGGGUGAGUAACACGUGGGUGAUCUGCCCUGCACUUUGGGAUAAGCCUGGGAAACUGGGUCUAAUACCGAAUAUGACCAUGGACUUCACGGUUUGUGGUGGAAAGCUUUUGCGGUGUGGGAUGGGCCCGCGGCCUAUCAGCUUGUUGGUGGGGUAAUGGCCUACCAAGGCGACGACGGGUAGCCGGCCUGAGAGGGUGACCGGCCACACUGGGACUGAGAUACGGCCCAGACUCCUACGGGAGGCAGCAGUGGGGAAUAUUGCACAAUGGGCGCAAGCCUGAUGCAGCGACGCCGCGUGGGGAUGACGGCCUUCGGGUUGUAAACCUCUUUCACCAGGGACGAAGCGAGAGUGACGGUACCUGGAGAAGAAGGACCGGCCAACUACGUG